rnacentral:lncRNA from 13 species
CUCCCCUCUCUCUCUGUUAUUCUGGUAAAAGGGGUGAAUGGCCAAGGUUUCUUUUUAUGCAAUAAAAAUAUGUCCUUGCCAGAUCGAUUGUUGUUGCUAGGAGACUGAAGCAUCCUCUGGCAAGGGCUGCCCGCGCUCUGGUACUAGAUGUAUUUUUUUCCUCCUCACGCUCUCUCUAUCUCUCUCUCUCUCGCUCUUUCUCUCUCUCUCUCUCAGUUUGACUCUGAGGGAUCAGGAGUAAGACAAACUCGCCUCAAGUGCUCAAAUAACUGCAAGAUUUGCGCGCCUCACAUUCUAAAUAAAGUUUCUCUGGUGAUGUAGCUAUGUACCAUGACCCAGAAGCUCUUUGUCUUGUCUGGUUCUUGUCAGAAGGUCUGAUGUCUAGACCGUGUGCUCCUUCAUGUGUGNNNNNNNNNNNNNNNNNUCUUCUACCUGUCCUAUGUAUUGCUGCUCUAUAGUCUCAGUGGCUGUAGUUUAGUUCCAGCUGUUUGAGUGCUGCUGCAUGAGAGAGAGAGAGAGAGAGAGAGAGAGAGGGAGAGAGAGAGAGAGAGAGAGAGAGAGAGAGAGAGAGAGAGAGAGAGAGAGAGAGAGAGAGAGAGAGAGAGAGAGAGAGAGAGAGAGAGAUGGAGAGACAGAGACAGAGAGAUGGAGACAGAGACAGAGAGACAGAGAGUAAACAAUAGACGGAUGGUGUGGACAGAUUUGCUCUGCAUAUGAAUGCAGUGUAGUGCAGUGCUUUACUGUCUAACGUAAAGCUGCAGACUUCAGCCUUUUUC